rnacentral:rRNA from 1 species
UACGUAGGGGCAAGCGUUGUCCGGAAUCAUUGGGCGUAAAGAGCGCGUAGGCGGCCCGGUAAGUCCGCUGUGAAAGUCAAAGGCUCAACCUUUGAAUGUCAGCGGAUACUGCCGGGCUAGAGUCCGGAAGAGGCGAGUGGAACUCCUGGUGUAGCGGUGGAAUGCGCAGAUAUCAGGAAGAACACCAACGGCGAAGGCAGCUCGCUGGGACGGAACUGACGCUGAGGCGCGAAAGCGUGGGGAGCGAACAGG